UGUGGAAUCUAUCACUUAGCUCUUUAGAAAAGAAAACUAAUUUUUACAUUGACACAAAGUGCUGCUUCACUUCAAUAUAGAGAUUUUCCUUAACUUCCCAACUUCGUGGACAUGUUCAAUUUCAUUCUGAAUUUUCUUUCCGAAACUGUACUUACCCAUGCAAUAAGGCAGUAAAGGAGAAAAAAAGUUGUUUUUAUUUGUCACAGAAGACCUGAUGCUGGAUUUCAAAUCCAAGGCUGUCUUAAAAAAUAUGAUCUUGCUAUGUGUCUUUCAAUUUUUACUUGUAAUGGAAUUUCUUAUAGAAAAGCAUUUAGAAAUGAACAAACUGGAAGGCAGUUUCCCAAAGAGAGCGGGCAAAUGCAAAAGAACUGUAUACCUUAAUCAUAGAACCUGCUACAGAAACCGUAUGCAGUUAACAACUACAAACACCUACCAAAAAGUCCGGAUUGACAUGGUAAUGUAGAACUAGGUUGACAAGUCAAACCAAGCUCACAACUGUAGGAUACUUUAAUCAAGAAACAACCGAUAAUCAAGGUAUAACAACAAUACAGCGCAAAUCAGAUUAAGAGAAGAGAUCAGGUCUGGAAAUCAAGCCUGCCAAUUCCAGAAAUUAAGGUUUCUGAGACCAGAAUAGAGCUAGAUGUGUAAGGUAGCUAGGAUGCUGAAAUAGGACCAAGAAUCACUCAUCAAACAUGGCUAGAUUUCAUAUAACCAGAGGGUAUGCAGAUCCAUUCAAUCGAUCUCUGUUUCAGGCCUGAAAACAGAGCAGAAAUCAAUACAGGACAAGAACUUGGUGAUUUCUUAUAUUUCACCAACCACAGGUCAGAAUGACCUGAAAAUUGGAUCCAAGGGGUGCCUUAAUGGGUGGAUGUUUCGACCCAAAUAUCCAGCCCUGGAGGAUGGCUGAUUUGCUCUAGAGAGUUAUGGGUUGGUAACUUGGUGCACAAGUAACUCAGAAAAUUCAGGGCAGAACUGAAUGUAAAACUGGAACUGAUACCUGUAAGAACUUGAGCAGAUCAGUAACAGCUUGAAUAGUUGAGAGGAGAAGAAGAUAAGUCAGGAAGAGGACCUCUCAGGCUUCACCUCGCAAAGAGUCACCGGAUCACACACCAGUCCAUCUACUUUGAUAAAACACAAAGCAAGUUCUCAGCAAGAGAAGCAGGAGCAGCAGCAACAAGGUAGUUUCUGUAAAUUGUGGGAGGCUAGAGGCCCUCCUAUGCUUUAUUUAUAAUUUUUGAUGGGGGAGGGAAUUACAAAAUAGAAGGUUCCAUAAAAAGAAACCUUAAUUAGACUCCUGAUGCAGUAGUUACUAAAAUCUGAAAUAGAAACUGCUGAAAAGGAAACUAAGGACUUUAAGAAACUUGUCCUCUAAGAACAAACUAAACCAAACCACAUAAUAAACAAACCAAAAUAAAACCCCAUCUAAUCAAAAUCAUGAGCUGCUUGGGCAGCUCCUAAGCAACCUGGCCGACAGUGCCCUCUUCUGUCUCCUUGUGUAUGUCUUCAGUGCUGCAUCACAUGGAAAAUGAAAGGUUGAAAAGAGGAAAAACCAGAGAAAAAGAGAUAAUCAUCAAUGUUUCCCUACUUAAAAAAAAUGAAAGAAAGAAAAAGUAAUUAUCAGGGAGAUAGAAUUGUUGUUAUAUUUUGUUUUCCAAUUUUGAAUCGUAUGCUUUAUGUAAGGGUGAAAAGGAAAAUGUAUACAAAUAUCAGUUUUUUCUACAUGAUGAAUGCACUGAUUCAAAUCAUGAUUAUCAGUAUCACCAAGUUAUUUCCCAUAUAACAAGGAAGCUUCAUUUUUCAAAAUUCUGCCUGGUCAAUACACAUAUCAUGUUCUUCAACAGGGUGGAAUCAUUCACUCUAAAGAUGAAUAACUCACCAGGUUCCUUACCAUGUAAAAAUGAUGCUUCACUUUUAAAAAUCUGCCAUGUCAGUGUUUCCAUGUCUAUGUUGGAAAUCAACACUUAAAUUUCAAUAUAGAACCUUACAUUAUUUUCCCAGCAGGUGCAGUCUCUGACUACACCACAUGUCCAUGCCUUCGUUACUGAGGUCCCCUCAAGAAAAAAUAUUCCCAUGUUUCCACGUUAUGUGAUUUGGUGAUGCUUUUGUCCUCAUCAAGCUGUGGAGUGCUUUUCUUGCAAAUGUACCCAAGUGUCUUAUGUCAUACGGAGUAAUGGAGAACAUAAAGAAUUUUUUUCUUGCUGGUUUGGACCUGUUGAGAAGGUUGGGGAGGCCCACCAAUGAAGUCCAACUGACUCUUCAAAUUUUGUAGCUUCAGCCCCUCAAUCAAUUCCUCCCAAGCUUACAGAAACAUCUGCACACAAGAUCUAUCAUAGUAAGCUAAAAUGGUAAACUGCAGAGAAGAGUUAGCAAUAUUGUAGUAAAAACGCAAAUGAGUUUGUACUUAUAUGUAAAUGUGUAAUGAGUAAAUUUCCUAGUAAUGGUCUGUUUUGUUGGACAUGCUGUUCCUUUCUUCUCUAUGUAUGGUUUAUUGUCCUCUGCAUGCGGAGCAAAACUUCAUGAUAACUUCUAUCAUCUUCAUGUGAUAUUAUGCAUUAGAUUCCCAUACGUCCAUUACUGAUUUUGUUGAUGGUAAAUAUCAUUUGGCCUGUGGCUGGAGCACCAACAAGUCAUUCCUACACCAUCACAUCUUGACAUCUAACUCAAAGGAUUAGGACUCAAAACUGAAUGGGUACCUCCAAGGAGAUUUCUUGGUGUCAAGAGGGAGCAGAUCACUAGGAUAAAUACUUUUGUCUGAUACUCGGUAUUAGGGUGACAUCCUCUUCACUAGCUCCAGAUUCUUUUACUCAACUCAUCAUGCUUCUGGUCACUAUGUUUCUCUCCAACCUGAGAAAGAGUUGAGUUUUUCUCACUUUUCUAUUGAUCUAUUGCAUUGCCACCAGGGUUCAGUAUGUAUAGUUAAUGCAGUCAGUGAAAGAGACAUGGCCAUAUUUACAGCAGGAAUGAUCCAGGCAAGAUCUUGCGGAACUGAAGGGGAAACGUUUUUUAUGCCACACAGCUGCUAGCUUUGUUUCUGCUCGAAUUGGAAUAAGGCCAAGGGCUCCGAUAUUACCAAAAGAUAUGGGAAUAAGUAAAGCAAGGGAUGGGGGCUCAUAGUUGUAGGGUCAUAUGUUCCAAAGACCACAAAACAGGUUGACGAUCUCAAAUCCCAAUUCGGCCAUGUCCUAAGAUGCAUUGAGGUAUCUGUUGAUAAACUUGCCAUUCGGUCAUUGCAGAAGAGGGAGUAGGAGAUCGAUCGGGCAGCUGAAAUGGCUGAUGUUCUCAUUAUAGGCUGUAAAGACACUCUAGUAACGACAAGUCGAGAGCUUAUUACUGGAAAAUCUGCUUCAGAGAGCCUAGAAAAUCAAUUUCAAAGUCAGUUCUGUACUGGUGGAAAUUGUGUGGCAGAUAACUACACGGCCUCAUUACAUUCUUGCCAAGGGGUCAUUGCUUGGAGCAAUGGCAAAGGGCUUUUUCCGCCUGCGCAGUGGUGCAUGAUCGAGUCCUGGGAACCAGCCUCUCUGUAAAGGGGGUAAGGCUAUCUACGUAUAUACCCUCCCAGAAUCCUGCUUAAGUGCGGGAAGCCUUUGUGCACUGGGCAACGGCCUUUCCUUUUUUCUUUUUUAUAUACUUGUAUUUCAGGGUGGCAUUACCUCCUCAGAUCUUGAUACAAAAGCUUUAGAAGCAAAACGUGCCAUGGUAGUUGGGCAGUCUUUAGCUGGUGUACCUUUGUGGCAGCUUUGGUUUUUAACUUCUUUCUUAUGAUAUAUUAUGAAGAAUCUGAUAAUUCCAAAAGAAAUGAGGGACAAUUUGAAUCCUCCACAAUAUGAUCUCGAGCAUUUGAAACUGAAAAAGAGAAAACCAACAGUGGGGCUUAAUGAAGAAUUUAUGAAUAGCUUGCU